GUUGGUAGGCGGCGGGUUUCCCAGCUCCUCAGGGCGUUUUACCCGGGGAAAAGCGAGGGAGGAGGAAGAGGAGGACGAGGACGAGGACGAGGGAGGGAAUCAAGUCGAGUCCAGCCCAGCCCUGUGGCCCCGGCAGUGGCAGCGGCAGCGGCCCCUCCUGUACCUCGCGUGUUCCCACCCCUUUUAAAUGAGCCCGAUCCAUCACUGCCCUCAUAGAGGAGUAGGGUGGUGGGAGGCGGCGGCGGAGCAGGAACGGGAGAGGGAGCGGCGGCAGCGGCGCCGAGUGUUGCGGCCGGGGCGCAGCUGCUGCCGCCGUGCCCGAUUGGAGCCCCGGUCCUCAGCGGUGCGGGAAAAGAGAGGCUGCGAACACCGGGCGGACAUGAGCCGCCCAACUCGGGCAUAGCUCCGGGGCUGCCCAUGCCCGGCCCCGCCAUUGUUGGGGGAGGGGGCGGCGGCAGCAGCAGCAGCAGCACGGGCGGCGGCGGCGGUGGCAGCUAACCGCGGACGGGCGGCAGGCGGGCAGACAGGGAGGGCGGGCGGACAGAGCGAUCCAGGGGCGGCGUGGGGGUGAGCCGCAGGACGCGAGGGCCGGGGAGCCGUGGGGGUGUCCCAUGGGGAACACGGUGACUUGUUGCGUGUCCCCGGAUGCCAGCCCCAAACUCAGUCGGGGCACGGGAGCGGCGGGGCCGGAGCGCCGGCUGGACGCCUACGACGCGGCGGCCGGGGAUGCGGUGCUGGUGGCCGCCGAGCCCAAGGAGGCGGACCCCGCGGGAGGCGAGGGACCGCACCUGCAGCACAUCAGCGACCGGGAGUUUCCCGACGUCACUCUUAAAGCUUCAAGAAAUCUACCUGUUGUUGGUCUCAGUCAGUUUGAUAUUUCAUUACCUGGAAUAGAUUUAGCCAUGGAAUCAAACCCAUCUGACCAUCCCAGAGCAAGCACAAUAUUUUUGAGCAAAUCCCAGACCGAUGUGAGAGAAAAGAGGAAGAGCAACCAUAUAAACCAUUUGUCUCCAGGGCAGCUCACUAAAAAGUAUAGUUCCUGUUCAACAAUAUUUAUAGAUGACAGCACAGUCAGCCAGCCUAAUCUUAGAAGCACAAUCAAAUGUGUGACGUUAGCAAUAUACUACCACAUAAAAAACAGAGAUUCAGAUAGAUCCUUGGAUAUUUUUGAUGAGAAAUCACAUCCACUCACACGAGAUGAUGUUCCUGAUGACUACUUCAAGCACGACCCUGAUCACAAGCAUAUUUAUCGAUUUGUUCGGACGCUCUUUAGUGCUGCACAGCUAACAGCGGAAUGUGCAAUAGUCACUUUGGUUUACUUAGAAAGACUUUUAACUUAUGCCGAGAUCGACAUUUGCCCAAGUAACUGGAAAAGAAUUGUCUUGGGAGCCAUUCUUCUUGCUUCCAAGGUUUGGGAUGAUCAAGCAGUAUGGAAUGUGGACUAUUGCCAGAUCUUGAAGGAUAUUACAGUUGAGGAUAUGAAUGAGAUGGAAAGACAUUUCUUGGAGCUCCUGCAAUUUAAUAUUAAUGUUCCUGCCAGUGUUUAUGCCAAAUACUACUUUGACCUUCGCUCCUUAGCAGAUGACAACAAUUUGAGUUUUCUGCUAGAACCCCUCAGCAAAGAGCGAGCACAGAAACUCGAGGCUAUUUCCAGACUGUGCGAAGACAAAUACAAAGACUUGUCCAAAGCUGCCAUGAGACGAUCUUUCAGUGCUGAUAACUUAGUCGGUAUUCGCCGUUCUAAUGCCAUCCUGUCCUGAAGGAGAAAUGAGGUGCAGCAUGUCAGAAAGCCAGCAUCCGUAAAGAAUGGAGAAAUACUCCCAGCCCGACAACCAGCAGUUGAUGGUGUUUUCAGCAAGAGGAAGGGCAUUGACUCCAAGGGACUCGGGGACCUGAGGAUCACACUCCAUAGGAAAGAUGGGACCUUGUCAAAGCAGCACAUUCUCCUGUCCUUUUUAAUGUAUCCAGAGGUGCAAAAACAAACUUUAUAAUGAAACCUCCUGAAUCCCACCCCAUACACAGAUGUUUGCUUACUGUGUAGGCCUAUAGCUGUGAACUAUAACCAUUUCAACCUUUUACCAAAAUGGAUUAAUAUUUGGGUAGGUGGGCUCUAACAUGACUACAACUACAAAAGGGCAACCAAGAAGUCAGCCAGAUGUCGUGGAACGCUGAGAAGACAUAGUAGAAUUUUCCUAUGUUGGCAGACUUUCCAAGGUCCUGUAGCUGGGAAAGGUAUGAUGAAGUAAGAAAUCUCAGGAACAUUCUUCUGUUAGGGUGCCUGUAAUCCCAUAAAAUAAGAAUUUUGGAAAAUGGCAUAUUGUUUCAUGAGAUUGUUCAUUUUGCCCACACAUGCUGUCCUGUGAAAAGGUAUUGAAGACUCAAUUGAACUUUGUUCUGGCUGGUAUAUUGCCAUCUAAGUUUCAGAUCCUUUGUUAGCAAAGGAAGACCAAGGACUCUGAAAUGAGAGAAUUUAUAAUUGAAGUGUUACACAAUAAAUAACUCUUCAAGCCCUUAUCAGGUUGCCAACAGCACCCUACCAGUAGGUGAAAAACUUUUAUUGGACAUUUCUGCUCGUGACUGCUCCAUCCUCAUAUGUCUGAAUAGCCCAAGUCCCAUAGAACCAUUCAAACCAAGGAUUGUAAUUAUUUGAAAAAGGGCAGGCAAAGCAGGACUCUCUCUCUUCCAAUUUCAAACCUAAGUGUACUUAUCAAGAACUUGCAACUCUCCAUCAGUUGGGCAAGGUAACAAACUCUUAUUCUCAUGUUUCAGGCCUUUGGAGGAAAGAAGCUCAAUUAGCAUGUCCAAUCUAUUUUGCUACUAAAAAAAAAUCUCAACAAGCCUUUCUCCCUAUCUACAUUAAGAAAAAGAGUUUAUACUUGUUCUCUGACCCCAGAGCUGCAUUCUUUUAUUUUUUUUAAACCCUUACCUUCCAUCUUGGAGUCAAUACUGUGUAUUGGUUCCAAGGCAGAAGAGUGGUAAGGGCUAGGCAAUGGGGGUCAAGUGACUUGCCCAGGGUCACACAGCUAGGAAGUGUCUGAGGCCAUAUUUGAACCCAGGACCUCCCAUCUCUAGGUCUGACUCUCAAUCUGCUGGGCUACCCAACUGCCCCCAAGCUGCAUUCUUGAAUACACUACUAUCUUGGAAAAUACUAGCUGGUGAGGAAUUGCCCAAGUUAAGUGCCAAUUUUAUGCAGAAUCUUUAGAUGAAACCAGCAUCUGUCAAAAAAACUAGGGAUUAAAUUACCCAAAAUUUAAACACUCUGCCUGCUACUUAGACUAUCUGGCUUGGCUCCUUACCUGAACAGAAUUUAGAAGAUCGGAAGCCCUUUGGCUCAGGCCUUCAUCUGUUUGGUUUCUAAGGCAAUUUCACAUGAAAACUAUUUAAAGUAGAUUUGGCAGGUGAGAGAACAAGUACUUCAGAGUUGGCAUAAAUGUCAAGAACACCUGUUUGUGGUUUAGGAUCUGGGCAUCAGAAAGGCCAUCUGGAUAAUUGGAGGUAUACAGAAAUUACAAGAUAAGACUACCCAGAUAAAAGGAAAAUUGCUAAGAAGUUUUAGCAAACAAUUAUCAUUUUAAACCUUUUUAGAAUAUCAGUAAUUUUGAGUGUUAGAUAUGGGAAAUUCAUUGGUGCCUGUGGAAAUUAAGGUGGUAUGUAUAUAGUAACUAGUGUCUACGGCAAAAGACCUCAUUAAAAAGAAGUUGCACAAAUAAGUACUAUACAAUUCUAUAAUGCACACAUUAUUGGAUUUAUAUUAAUUUAAAAAUCAGAGCUCUCUUUCGUUAAGAUAACACUUUUCCAUUUGUUAUCCACAACUGCCCCUUGCUUUAAUUCCACCAACCUCUCAUACAGCCCCACUUGGCUUUCUAGAACUCAAGCUUUUUAUCUUGCCACGAAUUCCUCUGUUACUAUUUCUCCAGGUUUCUUACCAUUCUCAUCUUCCUUCACCUGACUCCUUUGACCUUAAAACCUGCCAUGGCCACUGGGCCAAUGCUGAUUCACUCCUAUUCACCCUCUCUUUCCAAACUUCCUGCCACUGAAUUCCAAAGGAAUGUUGAGAAAACAUUCAACCAUAUAGAACUCAUUAUUCAUGUUGUCCUGCUUUAAUUGAAGCUUUAACUUACUGUCUUAACUAUUCUUUUCUUCAACUGAUAAACUCCCCACAUUGAUACUAAGUCACCUGUCAAGUACUAUUUCAACCCAUUUCCUCCUCCGAAUAUCACACUCAACCGUUGGUCUCUUUGCUGAAAAGAUGGGAGGUCAUCCAAGGGGAAGGACUUGUAUCUGUAACAUAGUAGGGAGAAGACUGAGGCUUCCCAGCUUGUCAUCUUUACUACCUUCUAUAAUUGGGGCAAGUCACCUCACCUCCUAAGGAUACCAUUUUCUCACCUGUAAAAUAAGGGGAGUGAACUGCAUGACCUAUUUUUCUUCCAGCUCAAAUCUUUCUCUGCUGUAUCCUCAUGCCUCUUGUCCUCAUCUCAAAGAUCUUCUACUCAAAAGCUAACUUCUCCCAACUAUUGAAUGAAUUUCCCGCCCCGGUCAAGCCUGACUCUUGAGGAAACAGUCCUGCAUGCCUCCUUUUCCACAUUAGCUAAUUUCCUAUGCAUGGUUUCCCCAAUCUUGAUAAAAAGUUCAUUUUUGCCACUGAACCCUCUAGUAACUAUUUUAUUACUGCCAAACUUCCACCACCGUGGCUCCAAUCCCUGAAACCUCUGUUUCCUCAACCCAUUCUCUUUGGAAGUUUGGCUUCCAUCUUUCAUUCUUCUAUUUGAAAUUUCCUUCUAGAAGUCUGUUAGUCAUGUUUUUUUGCAAGUUGAAACGGCCAUCUCCUCUCGAUCUCUGCAAAAUUUAUCACUGUGGACCUCCCUUUCCUUGAAACUUUUACCUUGGCAUUGCACUUUGAUUUCCUUCCACUAUGACUCCCCCUACUCCCCACACUCAUCCCUUAACUAUGAACAUUUUCAAAGGCUAAAACAUCUUCUUGGCUUAUAUUCACCCUCAGAGAACUCAACUGUCUCCCAGGCUUUAGCUAGCUAUCACCUCUGUGCUCGUGGUUUCCAAAUUUAACCCCAGUCACAUAGAAUUGACUUUCAAGAUUAGAAUGGACUUUAAACCCAGCCACCCCUAGCCAAUUUUGCAUUUCCAAAUACUUACAUUUCCACUUAAAUGUCUUAUAAUUAUUUCAAAGUGAAGAUGUUAAAAACCAAACCCAUCAUCCCUUCUAAAAUAUCCAUCUCCAAUCACUUGGGCUCAAAAUGGACUCUGCUCAUCUUUUCCUCACCCUCUAUGUCUACUCAGCCAUUAAAUACUAUUAAGUUUUUCUUUGAAAUGCUUCUCAUCUGCCCCUUCUUCUCUUUACCCUUCAUAUUUUCUCUGUACAUGACCAUCAGACUCAUGGAUUAAAUAUCUCUUGCUCUCAAAAAUCACUAAUAGCUCCCCAAUCAGACAAGAUUGUCCAGCUUGAUAGUCUCAAUUUUUCAAUCUGGCAGCUAAUGCCAUCCUAUUCAACUUUAAUCCUCUACGCUGAUAUUCCUGUGACUUUGAUUAGGAGUGUCACUGAAUUAAUCUGGAAUAUCAGUCAAAUGCAGAAGUUGGACUAGAUGAUCUUCCUCCUAGCUCUAAAUAUCAUGAAUCCAUGAACAAAUUUGCAACUCCUAUCGUAUUUUUGCAGAUGUGUUUCUCUAGACUCUUUUCCACCCUUCUCUGCUUUUCCAAACCCUUCCUCUUUAGGGUUCAAUCCAAAUGCCAUCAUCACCCAUCUCCUUUACUAGCCUUUCCAUAACUGCUCUAUCCCACAUCAGUCACCCUCUUUUCUCUGGAUGAUUUUAUUGCUUCAAUAAUUUAAGUUACUGGUGCCCCCACCUUUCCAGUCUUCUUGCACCUUAAACCUUACCAUGUAUGUACUCUCCAGUCCCAAGACACUGGCUUCCUGGCUGUUCCACCAACAAGGCACUCAAUUUCUCAACUUUUUUCUCAAGUUGUUUUCCAUACCUGAAAUUCUCUACCUUUUCAUUUCCACCCACUGGCUUCUUUCAAAUCCCCACUAAAAUCUCACUUAAGGAAAUCUUUCCUAAACUUUGCUAAUAUUUCCUGUUUAUCCUGUAUAUGAUUUGUUUGUACAUUUUGUUUGCAUGGUGUUUCCCCUAUUGGUUUUCAAGCUCCUGGAGGGCAGAGACUGCCUUUGUUUUUGCUUUUUUGUAUCCCUAAUGCUUAUCCAAGUGCCUGGCACAUAGUAGGUAUUUAAUAAAUCUUGACUGACUGACUGCAUUUUCACAUAAACUCCCUUUUGAUACUUAUACAUCUCUUGUCUUGCCUCACAAACUGGAUUGAAAGCUCCCCAAGGACAGUCUGUUUUGUUAGAGGCUCCUAAAAGUUUUAGUGUAGUUGUAAGAUACAAAAGCUUACAGAGUACCUUAGGGUACCUUUAAACUUUAUAUUUUAGUAGCUCUACUAAGACAUUUGGGACGCUCCAUAUGACUCCCUCAGCAACUAGCAUGAGAAACACAGUCUCUUUGAAUGCAGAAACACCACCAACCACCUUUCCAACACAUCCAGUGCCGCAAAGAAUCAUAGGAGGAAACUUUGCUGUAAUACCUGCAUUAGAAGGGAUAUUCAUGGCUUUUGGGUCUUCUGAGGCAUUUUCCAACCAUUAGACUAACUACAGCAGGUGAAAAGUAAUCAAAUAAUCAUUGAGGUAGCCAUUCAGUUAGCAAAAAAAAGGUUACAUCUUUAUUCUUUUAUAUAUUUCUUCUCAUGAACUUGGUACUAUACUUUGAAUCUAUGUGCUUCGUGUCCCUCUUUCCUCUGAUUCCUUCUUGUACCUAAACAGGAUAAAGUAGUGCUUGAAUUAAGCUCCAUACAAUGUUCCUAGAUUGGCUUGGGACCACUUAAAAUCAGAGCCUAAAGUUAAAGACUUGAACUUUAUUUACUCAAGUUUUGUGAUCAUCCAUUGUCAGGUUUGUUCAGCAUAUUUCCCAGCUCACUGUUACACAGAAUAAUUUAAAAUAAAAUUGGAAACCUUGUUUGUCUAGAUUAACGAGUUUUUUUUUAAACAUUAAGGAUUCCAAAGAGGCAUCACUGGGGUUUUUGGCCAUUGAAGCAUUGAAAAUUUUCAUGUCAACAAAUUUUAGCAUUAAUGAAUUCUUAAAUACUUCUUAAGGACAACCUAGUUCUAGAUUCAAAUUGUACUUAACCAGGACCAACACGGUAGGAAGAGAAUUCAGGGCUAUUUUUUGAGGAAGAAUGCCUCACUGAUGUUUCUAAAAAGCAUUAUCUUCCAAGAGUAGAAAAUCCGCUUCUAUAGCAUCUUCUCAUUUUUUUCCACAUUGCUUUAAUAUUUUUAUUUUGAUCUACAUUAAUCAGGAACAAAGAAAAAAUAAGACUUUUUGUUUUCUCAUAAAUAACUAAUCUCCAUAAUUUUAAUAAAAUCUCAGAUGAUUUUACCUUUUCACAAAUAUACAUACAAAAAAAAUUUUUAAGUAACAAAAUUCAGCAAUUUAAGUAUCUGGAGACUAAACAUAACAUAAAACAAUUUUGUCUACUGAAUACAGGGCACAAAAUAACCAUUCCUUGAACUCUAUGGAUUCAGAAUUAUAAUCACAUUAACUUACAGAUCCAAGUGAUUGUCUGCAACGUAGCACUAUCACUGCCAGAGACAAGCGGUCCCCCUAAUCAGUUAGAUUUGAUUUGUCAGGAUAGUAUUACCGUAUUGCAUGAAAUAGGCACUAAACAAAUUAUGUAGCUAUUAUAGAAAUUACUUAAUGCCCUGGACUCAACUAACUACUGACUCAGUGUUUGCCUCAUUUGGCUCAGUAAUUAAUUCACCUGCACCAAACCCGUAUCAAAGGUCUCUAAAUCUCUCAUAUAUAUAAUAUAUAUUUAUAUUAUGUAUAUAUGUAUUUAUAUAUACACACAACCACAAAACAAAAUUACAUUUACAUCAUUUGUAACAUCUGUCUCAAAAGACGUACCAUACACUGUUGGUUGAAAUGGAUCCAAACUAGUGGCACCCCCUAUCCUAUUCCUUGCUAGCUGUUGGACACCCCCCUCCAGCCCAGGUACCCCUGCUUCCUGUGAACUUGAUUUUCGACUUCCUUCUUUUGGAGCAGGCCAGUUGCCAUUCCCAGGUUGUCUGAAAAUGAGAAAGGGCCAGCCAAGAUCAGGAAAGUGUCCAGGCCUCUGCCUCAGCCCUCCUGCCCAGACUUGAUCAGUCCUGAUGAUCACAUUGAUUCAGAUUGUGUCAAACGGAUUCUCCCUUUCUGCCUCAUUCCUUCCAGAACUGUUAUUAAGAUCCUAUAUGCGAGUGAGCCUGGCGGCUUUCUUCCCUGGCAGCCAGUGUUACAAAUCACGCAGCCCCAGCUGGGCGUAUUGUAAUGAAUGUCCACUUUGUAAACUGUUUUGCACCUUAAAAACACCAAUACAGAUACUGAAGCAGUUAGGUGACUAAUUCACAGAUUCCACAGAAAGGGAAAAGAGCUUCAUACAGAUGACAAACCAAGAAGGCACCUUCCAGGAAUUCCGACAAUUUCAAGCUGUGAUGAUGCAGGAUGAAUAAGUAUUUCAACAGGUUUCCUGAAAACGUGUCACCUUAAUUUAAUAGCUGGGUCACUGAGUGACAGUUCUGCCUCUCAGGGUAGCUCAUUUGGCAUCAAGGUCUCUGAUUUAUCCUGCUUCACACCUAAAUAAAGGAAGGCUGCUUGGUGGAGAUGGGCUCCCCCCAUCUCCCGAGGCAGAGGAGGCUGCCAGCCUAGUUUGUGGGUGGGCACGGGCUGGGGGGAUGGAUAGAUGGCGACACAAGGAAUGGAGGCGAAAGGUUGAUUCUUAUCCAAGUAGCCAUGGGGACAAGAUAGCACAAGAUUUGGGAAAGGCAUGUAGGUUGUUUCUCUUUUAAAAAGACAAAAAACGAACAAUUUUUAAGGCAGCUAACAAAGCAUAAGGAUGUGUGGCUUGGGGGGUCCGGGGUAGGAGAACUCAUCUAACAGCAGCAAUACUAGACCUGUCUAUCAAAGUGCAAGUAUGAGGAAUCUAACCCUAUCAGUACUGCUGGCUUCGGAAACAAUUUGCCCUCAUCUACAGCGAUAGCCUGUUUUCAU